rnacentral:rRNA from 1 species
AAUUCCCAAAAUGGAGAAAGGGGGUACCCCCAAGGGCCCCCGGAAAAGGGGGUUUUCCCUUGGGGUAAUACCCUUUGGAAAUAAGGGGGGGGCAGAAUGGGUGUCGCCCGCCGCGGUAACCCAGCCCCCCCGAGUGGUGGGGAUGCUUAUUUGGCCUAAAGCGUCCGUAGCCUGCUCGGGUAAAUCUCUCGUUUAAAUCCAACGUCCUAAGCGUUGGGCUGCGAGGGGAGACUGCUGAGCUAGAGGGGUGGGAGAGGUCAGCGGUAUUUCUGGGGUAGGGGCGAAAUCCAUUGAUCCCAGGAGGACCACCAGUGGCGAAGGCUGCUGACUAGAACACGCCUGACGGUGAGGGACGAAAGCUGGGGUAGCGAAUCGGAUUAGAUACCCGAGUAGUCCCAGCCGUAAACGAUGCAGGUUAGGUGUUGGGUUGGCCACGUGCCGACUCAGUGCCACAGGGAAGCCAUUAAACCUGCCGCCUGGGGAGUACGGCCGCAAGGCUGAAACUUAAAGGAAUUGGCGG